UGGCUCAGAGGUUAAAGCAUCUGCCUGCAAUGCAGGAGACCUGGGUUCAAUCCCUG
rfam:Ovis aries breed Texel chromosome 6, whole genome shotgun sequence.